rnacentral:rRNA from 1 species
UACAGAGGUCCCGAGCGUUGUUCGGAUUCACUGGGCGUAAAGGGUGCGUAGGUGGCUUGAAAAGUUUGAUGUGAAAGCUCAGGGCUUAACCCUGAAAUGGCAUUGAAUACUGUCGAGCUGGAGGUUUGGAGGGGGGACUGGAAUUCUUGGUGUAGCAGUGAAAUGCGUAGAUAUCAAGAGGAACACCAGUGGCGAAGGCGAGUCCCUGGACAACACCUGACACUGAGGCACGAAGGCUAGGGGAGCAAACAGG